UCAAGCACCUAGACUCUAGUGAAUGCCUAUAGAAAUUGCUGGGAACACAGAGACAUUAGCAUUUGAAAUGGAUUACCUUCUAUCCAUUUGUCCAAUUGCAUGCUUAAGCUUUAAAGGAAACGAUACCAUUUGAGUUCAUCCAUAAAUAUCAUGAAAGGCAUAAACUGCACUCUACAGCAAUCUGAAAUUCCUUCUUCGUUUUGUUCCCCGUCCUAUGUUUUCUCCAUCCCUGUAUAUAUUCCAGGCUUCAACAAAUUUGAUCAGUGUGAAGCAAGUACUUCUUUU
rnacentral:lncRNA from 1 species